GGUGGAGCAUGUGACUUAAUUCGAUGCAACGCGAAGAACCUUACCUGGCCUUGACAUCCACGGAAUUCGGCAGAGAUGCCUUAGUGCCUUCGGGAACCGUAAGACAGGUGCUGCAUGGCUGUCGUCAGCUCGUGUUGUGAAAUGUUGGGUUAAGUCCCGCAACGAGCGCAACCCUUAUCCUUUGUUGCCAGCGCGUGAUGGCGGGAACUCAAAGGAGACUGCCGGUGACAAACCGGAGGAAGGUGGGGAUGACGUCAAGUCAUCAUGGCCCUUACGGCCAGGGCUACACACGUGCUACAAUGGCGCAUACAAAGAGAAGCGACCUCGCGAGAGCAAGCGGACCUCAUAAAGUGCGUCGUAGUCCGGAUCGGAGUCUGCAACUCGACUCCGUGAAGUCGGAAUCGCUAGUAAUCGUAGAUCAGAACGCUACGGUGAAUACGUUCCCGGGCCUUGUACACACCGCCCGUCACACCAUGGGAGUGGGUUGCAAAAGAAGUAGGUAGCUUAACCUCCGGGAGGGCGCUUACCACUUUGUGAUUCAUGACUGGGGUGAAGUCGUAACAAGGUAACC
rnacentral:rRNA from 1 species